rnacentral:rRNA from 1 species
AUGGAGCAAGGGAAGGAUGGACCGCGGGUUGAAGAUGCAAACGAGAGAAGGCGUCCGUCCCCUCCCCCACCACCUCUCUCAUGCCGAUUUUUCUUCCUCCGCCAGUUUUCUCCCAUCCCACGUGACGAAACAAUCGACCCAAAUGAGCGAACCGCUCCCCUUUCUCUACUCACACGAGCGGCCCUUUUCCUGGUACACUCGCGCCCGCUAGGGUUCCUGCGCCGCCUCCACAAAGGAUCUCGUCGACUAGCCCACGGCUCUGCUCCUUGCUUCCCACAAGCGAUCCAUCAGCUUCUACGCAAGCCAAGCCGCCGCCUCUCUGCCGAGAAAAAGGGCUCCCAAUCUCCACCAGGGUCGAUCAACCGCGCGACAGAGCUCACACCCCUUCGCUGGUCCACUCUGGCGCGGCCAUUGUUGGUGCGUCCCCCCGGUCCCCCCUUCCCACCCACCGAUGAGCAGCAGAAGCGCCACAUCGGCACCACCGCGCUCCUCGCCACCGGCGGCUUCGCCGGCGUCGUGAGCAAGACCUACAUCGCGCCCCUCGUCCCUCACCAUCCUCUUCCAGGACAUGAUUUGACCACAAAGGAAUCCCCCUUUAAAUGUGUUCUGAUGUCUAUUUGUUAUAUGAGCUUUGUACAUACUGAUUCAACUGGUGGCAGCUUUCUGAAUGGUGACUGGCUUGGACGAUCCAAAUUAUGUCAGUGUCAUGAUCUUCGUCAUGAAGAAGUUAUUAUCUUAGUGUCAGUUCGUUUAGUUGGUGAUGGUUUAGCGGGAGUGACAGCUGUAUCUGUAACUUACCCAUUGGAUGUUGUUCGAACUCGCUUGGCAACACAGCCUCUUUCAGUUAGUACAAUGAUCAAGGAUCUCAUGUAUGAAGAAAAGCUUGUGCCUUUUGAGAUCAUUGCCAUGCUAAUUAGUAAAGAACAUGCUUGUGAUUGGAAAUAA